AGACCAUGAUGAGGACACUCUAGGAGGAGGUCUUUGAAACGUUCCAUACAUCAAGAGAAUGGUUCAUUAGGUCACUGGCGAAACUGGAGAAUGUCGUUCCUAAGCUU
rfam:Cephalotus follicularis DNA, scaffold: scaffold5051, isolate: St1.